rnacentral:sRNA from 1 species
GCCGACAACCAGCUCGAAUUUGUUUUUUUCUCGCUUAUUAUUUAUGAUUCAAUAGGUUUUUAUUUUAUAUCCUUUUUCCUUUUCUUUUCUUUUCAAACGAAAAAGGGAAAAUGUUUGGAGAGAAUGGAGAAUUCGGGGAAGAUCUAGUUAACUAUCGGUUUGGCUUGUAGUUGAAAAAAGCUGUCUGCCAAAUGGUCUGUAAACUUAUAUAGUGUUACGCUCCCGCUCGCCGUUGAGCAAACCUGCGGUAAAAUACAAACUUCACGAUUAGAGAUACAUGGGCUUAUUGGUCACUUUACGGAAUAGCUCUGAUCUACAAGAAAAGUGGUUCGAGAGUUCAAAGGAAU